CUUAGUUCAGUUGGUAGAACACUAGUCUCCAAAACUAGCUGUCGAGGGUUCGAAUCCUUCAGG
rnacentral:tRNA from 1 species